rnacentral:lncRNA from 1 species
AUGCGCAAUGCCAACCAGCGCCUGCGAGUCUUGCUGGUACUACGUAAAAUUUCCCACCGCGAAGCAGGUAGUGAUGCUGCGACGGCUUUCCUGCCGACCGCCAGGCGCUGCUACAGUGGAUGCGAACUACCUCAUUAUAUCAUGCUGCAGAAACCAGCUCAACUAUGCGAAACUACCACCAGGAUUGGCCGACACCGGCAGGGAUUCCAGAGACCACGCUGCAGAGAGCAUGCAGAAAGAAAAUUAAGAAAUCAGAUGCAGCAGCAGCUGGAACCCACAGUUCACCUUGGUGCAUUCCUUUAUGAUGAAGACUUAUUGAUUCAUUAUAUGAGAAAGGAAAAAUGAGCAGAAACUACUGUAUGAUGUGCAGCUCACACCAGACAGCACCUUUAGGGUUAUCUUUCCAGUUCAGCAGUGCAACUCUAUAGAGUAGAAUUGAAAGGAGACUUUCCCCAAUUGCAGGAAAUGGUCAUAAAAAAAUACCUGUUCACUAACAGAAUAAAG